AGCUUUGCACAGUGGCAGUAUCAUAGCCAAUGAGGUUUAUCUGAGGUGCGGUUAUUGCUAAUUGAAAACUUUUCCCAAUGCCCCACUGUGAUGACUUGCAACAUAGUUGGCAUCGGCAAUUUUUGACAAUCUCUACGGAGA
ensembl:snRNA U4 U4 spliceosomal RNA